GUUCGUCUUGAUGAGGGCUAGAACUUUGCUUAAUAUCUUUUCAGCAAGUUAUGCGUAUUUAAGGAGAUUCGCCUACGCAUGCGCAGUAGCGUAACUCUUUACGCUUGCAUAUUUUGUUAAGAAGAUAUUAAUAAAAGUUGUUCGCCUUGAUGAGGGCUACAACUUUGCUUAAUAUCUUUUCAACAAAUUAUGCGUAUUUAAGGAGAUACGUCUGCGCAUGCGCAGUAGCGUAACUCUUUACGCUUCCAUAUUUAUUUAAGAGGAUAUUAAUAAAAGUUGUUCGUCUUGAUGAUGGCUACAGCUUUGCUUAAUGUCUUUUUAACAAAUUAUGCGUAUUUAAGGAGAUACGUCUGCGCAUGCGCAGUAGCGUAACUUCUUACACUUGCAUAUUUUGUUAAGAUAUUAUUAAAAGUUUUUCGUCUUGAUGAGGGCUACAACUUUGCUUGAUAUCUUUUUAACAAAUUAUGCGUAUUUAAGGAGAUACGUCUACGCAUGCGCAGUAGCGUAACUCUUUACGCUUGUAUAUUUUGUUAAGAGGAUAUUAAUAAAAGUUGUUCGCCUUGAUGAGGGCUACAACUUUGCUUAAUAUCUUUUUAACAAAUUAUGCGUAUUUAAGGAAAUACGUCUGCGCAUGCGCAGUAGCGUAACUCCUUACACUUGCAUAUUUUGUUAAGAAGAUAUUAAUAAGAUACUCAUAUUUUGUAGCGGACUCUCAAUAUUUUUUUCCCUUUAUAUAAUCUGGCUAUUUUUUACUCUUUUUAUUGUUCUAUGUGAGAAAUCGUUUUCCAAGUAGUGUAAAAUAUUGCUAUGUUGAACCUGGCCCGAAGAGAUCCAGCUAAUCAUUCUGUGUUGAUUUCAUAUUGAAUUCUUUCACCGCGUUCACCGCCAUUCACCGCAUAAUAGUCUCCUACACCGCAUGAGAUAAGCAGGUCACAACAAUUUACUACUGUCUUUAAUUUCACAAAAAUUGCAGAUCGUCCCUGGUGGCUUAGUGGUAGUUCGUCUGGCCUGUCUCUAUUAACGUUUGGGUUCAAAUCCCGCUGAACUCAUAUUUUGUAGCGGACUCUCAAUAUUUUUUUUCCUUUAUUUAUUGUUGCUAUUUUUUAUACUUUUUAUACUUCUAUGUGAGAAAUCGCUUUGCAAGUAGCAUAAAAUAUUGCUAUUUUGAACUUGGCCCAAAGAGAUCCAGCUAAUAAUUCUGUGUUGAUUUCAUAUUGAAUUCUUUCACGGCGUUCACCAGCAUUCACCGCAUAAUAGUCUCGUACACCGCAUGAGAUAAGCAGGUCACAACAAUCUACUAUUGUCUUUAAUUUCACAAAAAUUUCAGAUCGUCCCUGGUGGCUUAGUGGUAGUUCGUCUGGCCUGUCUCUAUUAACGUUUGGGUUCAAAUCACGUUGAACUCAUUUUUUGUAGCGGACUCACAAUAUUUUUUUUUCCCUUUAUAUGAUCUGGCUAUUUUUUACUCUUUUUAUAGUUCUAUGUGAGAAAUCGCUUUGCCAGUAGUAUAAAAUAUUGCUAUGUUGAACCUGGCCCGAAGAGAUCCAGCUAAUCAUUCUGUGUUGAUUUCAUAUUGAAUUCUUUCACCGCGUUCACCGCCAUUGACCGCAUAAUAGUCUCCUACACCGCAUGAGAUAAGCAGGUCACAACAAUCUACUAUUGUCUUUAAUUUCACAAAAAUUUCAGAUCGUCCCUGGUGGCUUAGUGGUAGUUCGUAUGGCCUGUCUCUAUUAACGUUUGGGUUCAAAUCACGUUGAACUCAUAUUUUGUAGCGGACUCACAAUAUUUUUUUUCCCUUUAUAUAAUCUGGCUAUUUUUACUCUUUUUAUAGUUCUAUGUGAGAAAUCGCUUUGCAAGUAGUAUAAAAUAUUGCUAUGUUGAACCUGGCCCGAAGAGAUCCAGCUAAUCAUUCUCUGUUGAUUUCAUAUUGAAUUCUUUCACCGCGUUCACCGCCAUUCACCGCAUAAUAGUCUCCUACACCGCAUGAGAUAAGCAGGUCACAACAAUCUACUAUUGUCUUUAAUUUCACAAAAAUUUGAGAUCGUCCCUAGUGGCUUAGUGGUAGUUCGU
rnacentral:lncRNA from 1 species